rnacentral:rRNA from 1 species
UACGUAGGGAGCAAGCGUUGUCCGGAAUCAUUGGGCGUAAAGCGCGCGUAGGUGGCUUCGUAAGUCCGUUGUGAAAGUCAAAGGCUCAACCUUUGAAAGCCGAUGGAUACUGCGGAGCUAGAGUACGGAAGAGGCGAGUGGAAUUCCUGGUGUAGCGGUGAAAUGCGCAGAUAUCAGGAGGAACACCGGUGGCGAAGGCGGGUCUCUGGGCCGAUAUUGACGCUGAGGAGCGAAAGCGUGGGGAGCGAACAGG